CCGGGCUGCCACGAAUGGCUAUGCACUGUACAACCCUAGGAGAGGAUGCCAUUCACAUAGACUAUAAUUGAAUGGCGCCACUAGGGUUGUGCAGGGCACAACCUAUACAACUGUACUCGGU
rnacentral:pre_miRNA from 15 species